rnacentral:rRNA from 1 species
CGUAGGUAACCUGCCUGGUAGCGGGGGAUAACUAUUGGAAACGAUAGCUAAUACCGCAUAACAGUAGAUAUCGCAUGAUAUUUGCUUGAAAGGUGCAAUUGCACCACUACCAGAUGGACCUGCGUUGUAUUAGCUAGUUGGUGAGGUAACGGCUCACCAAGGCAACGAUACGUAGCCGACCUGAGAGGGUGAUCGGCCACACUGGGACUGAGACACGGCCCAG